rnacentral:rRNA from 1 species
CCCUUAGAUGUCCGGGGCUGCACGCGCGCUACACUGAAGGAAUCAGCGUGCUAGAAAACCUUGUUUGACAUGGCUAGGUAACCCGUUGAAAAUCUUUCGUGAUUGGGAUCGGGACUUGCAAAUGUGUCCCUUGAACGAGGAAUUCCCAGUAAGUGCGGGUCAUAAGCUCGCGCUGAUUACGUCCCUGCCCUUUGUACACACCGCCCGUCGCUACUACCGAUUGAAUGGUUUAGUGAGAUCCUUGGAUCGGCCCUGUCGCGGCUGGCAACGGCCGCGUCGGCGCGUCGAGAAGACGAUCAAACUUGAUCAUUUAGAGGAAGUAAAAGUCGUAACA